rnacentral:rRNA from 1 species
GACAGAGGGUGCAAACGUUGUUCGGAAUUACUGGGCGUAAAGCGUGUGUAGGCGGCUACGUAAGUCGGAUGUGAAAGCCCCGGGCUCAACCCGGGAAGUGCACUCGAUACUGCGUAGCUUGAGUCUCGGAGAGGUUGGUGGAAUUCUCGGUGUAGAGGUGAAAUUCGUAGAUAUCGAGAGGAACACCGGUGGCGAAGGCGGCCAACUGGACGAAGACUGACGCUGAGGAGCGAAAGCAUGGGGAGCGAACAGG